GACAGAGGUUGCAAACGUUGUUCGGAAUCACUGGGCAUAAAGCGCACGUAGGCGGUCUGUUAAGUCAGGUGUGAAAGCCCCCGGCUCAACCGGGGAACAGCAUCUGAUACUGGCAGACUCGAGGAUGGUAGGGGUGAGUGGAACUCCAGGUGGAGCGGUGAAAUGCGUAGAUAUCGGAGGAACACCGGUGGCGAAAGCGGCUCACUGGACCAUAACUGACGCUGAGGUGCGAAAGCUAGGGUAGCAAACGGG
rnacentral:rRNA from 1 species